UACGAAGGGGGGCUAGCGUUGCUCGGAAUUACUGGGCGUAAAGGGCGCGUAGGUGGCCUUUUGAGUCAGACGUGAAAUCCCCCGGCUUAACCUGGGAACUGCGUCUGAUACUGGAAGGCUUGAGUUCGGGAGAGGGAUGUGGAAUUCCAGGUGUAGCGGUGAAAUGCGCAGAUAUCAGGAGGAACACCAAUGGCGGAAGGCAGCUCGCUGGGACGUGACUGACGCUGGAGACGCGAAAGCGUGGGGAGCAAACAGG
rnacentral:rRNA from 1 species